rnacentral:piRNA from 1 species
UGCAUACUGUCUGAUUAAACACA